UACAGAGGUCUCAAGCGUUGUCCGGAAUCACUGGGCGUAAAGGGCGCGUAGGCGGCUUGAUAAGCGUGCGGUGAAAGCCCGGGGCUCAACCCCGGGUCGGCCGUGCGAACUGUCGAGCUGGAGCACUGUAGAGGCAGGUGGAAUUCCGGGUGUAGCGGUGGAAUGCGUAGAGAUCCGGAAGAACACCGGUGGCGAAGGCGGCCUGCUGGGCAGUGGCUGACGCUGAGGCGCGACAGCGUGGGGAGCAACAGGAUUAGAACC
rnacentral:rRNA from 1 species